UACAGAGGGGGCAAGCGUUGUUCGGAAUUAUUGGGCGUAAAGAGCUCGUAGGCGGUCUGUCGCGUCGGAUGUGAAAACCCAGGGCUCAACCCUGGGCCUGCAUCCGAUACUGCCCGACUAGAGGUAGGUAGGGGAGAUCGGAAUUCCUGGUGUAGCGGUGAAAUGCGCAGAUAUCAGGAGGAACACCGGUGGCGAAGGCGGAUCUCUGGGCCUUACCUGACGCUGAGGCGCGAAAGCCAGGGGAGCAAACGGG
rnacentral:rRNA from 1 species